rnacentral:rRNA from 1 species
UACGUAGGGGCCGAGCGUUGUCCGGAAUCAUUGGGCGUAAAGCGCUUGUAGGCGGCCUGUCAAGUCGCGUGUGAAAUCCCUUGGCUUAACCAAGGAAGUGCGCGCGAAACUGGCGGGCUUGAGUGCCGGAGAGGGUCGCGGAAUUCCCGGUGUAGAGGUGAAAUUCGUAGAUAUCGGGAGGAACACCAGUGGCGAAGGCGGCGACCUGGACGGACACUGACGCUGAGACGCGAAAGCGUGGGGAGCAAACAGG